UUAUUUUUUUAAAGACCUGGAUAGUUUCCUGGAAUAAGCAUUUUUGGCAAGCUCCACAGGUGACACUUAUAUAAGUUGUUCAUGUUACAGAUCUUGAGGAACACUAGCAAAUAACAGCCACUUAGGUGUGUGUAGCCUAUGUGCUGUUACAUAUGUGAUGAUUAAAGCGAUGUCACAAUAGGGGGACAGGAAGCAUUAUUGCACUCUUCUUCCAGAUGGGACAUCAGUUUUCAGUUCAAGGCCAUCAGAAAAUUAUUCACCUCAAGAAAAGAAAAUGAGUAUAAUCCACCCAACGUUUGCUGAAAAAAUAAAAUGGGGAACAACAAUAGUUAAUCAUAAAAAGUGGUGACCAAAAAUGAAUAAAUUGAAACUGAGAGAAGUUAAAAGCAAGCUGUCUUAACACAACUGGUAAACCUUAGAGCUAGGUUUGGAGUCCAAGCCUGCUAACUCCCAAGCCCAAGCCUUUAAUUCUGCACUGCUUCCUGGACCAGAAACUUGAAUUCUUUUAGUGAAAUGGGAAUGUGAGUGAAUAUCAGCCAGUGAUGAAAGGCUACUUGCUUUGUUUAUUCAAUGAAUAUAUUUAACAUUAGGAAAAAACAAACAAACAAACAAAAAACAACAACCCAGAUAGCAAAAUUAUUCCUGAAGUGAUCAAAGUUUUU
rnacentral:lncRNA from 1 species